rnacentral:pre_miRNA from 1 species
GUCACCUGGGAAUCUUGAUAGAAUGCAGAUUCUGAUUCAGUGGAUCUGUGGUAGGACCUGAGACUCUGCAUUUCUGACAAGCUCCUAGGUGAUGCCAG